rnacentral:rRNA from 1 species
GGAGGGUGCAAGCGUUAAUCGGAAUUACUGGGCGUAAAGCGCACGCAGGCGGUUGGAUAAGUUAGAUGUGAAAGCCCCGGGCUCAACCCGGGAAUUGCAUUUAAAACUGUCCAGCUAGAGUCUUGUAGAGGGGGGUAGAAUUCCAGGUGUAGCGGUGAAAUGCGUAGAGAUCUGGAGGAAUACCGGUGGCGAAGGCGGCCCCCUGGACAAAGACUGACGCUCAGGCGCGAAAGCGUGGGGAGCAAACAGGAUUAGAUACCCUGGUAGUCCACGCCGUAAACGAUGUCGAUUUGGAGGCUGUGUCCUUGAGACGUGGCUUCCGGAGCUAACGCGUUAAAUCGACCGCCUGGGGAGUACGGCCGCAAGGUUA